CCUACGGGUGGCUGCAGUCGAGAAUCUUCGGCAAUGGGCGCAAGCCUGACCGAGCGACGCCGCGUGUGGGAUGAAGGCCCUUGGGUUGUAAACCACUGUCAGAGGGGAUGUGUUAAAGCCAGAGGAAGCACGGGCUAAGUUCGUGCCAGCAGCCGCGGUAAUACGAACUGUGCGAACGUUAUUCGGAAUCACUGGGCUUACAGGGUGCGUAGGCGGCUUGUUAAGUAGGGUGUGAAAGCCCCCGGCUCAACCGGGGAAUUGCGCCCUAAACUGGCGAGCUGGAGUGAGAUAGGGGUGUGUGGAACUUCCGGUGGAGCGGUGAAAUGUGUUGAUAUCGGAAGGAACGCCGGUGGCGAAAGCGACACACUGGAUCUUUCUGACGCUGAGGCACGAAAGCCAGGGGAGCGAACGGGAUUAGAUACCCUUGUAGUC
rnacentral:rRNA from 1 species